rnacentral:tRNA from 1 species
ACCCGGUUGGCGCAAUGGUAGCGCGUGUGACGCAUGAUCAUAAGGCUGCGAGUUCGACCCUCGCAUCGGGUG